UGAGUCACCAGCCUUCAGCUCAGAGCCC
rnacentral:piRNA from 1 species